rnacentral:rRNA from 1 species
GUCUGUGGCCAUACCACCCUGAACACUCUCGAUCUCAUGUGAUCUUGGAAGCCAAGCAGGGUCAGACCUGGUUAGUACUUGGAUGGGAGAUUCAGUACUCAUUUC